rnacentral:rRNA from 1 species
AGUGAACGCUGGCGGUAGGCCUAACACAUGCAAGUCGAACGGCAGCACAGGAGAGCUUGCUCUCUGGGUGGCGAGUGGCGGACGGGUGAGGAAUACAUCGGAAUCUACUCUGUCGUGGGGGAUAACGUAGGGAAACUUACGCUAAUACCGCAUACGACCUACGGGUGAAAGCAGGUGAUCUUCGGACCUUGCGCGAUUGACUGAGCCGAUGUCGGAUUAGCUAGUUGGCGGGGUAAAGGCCCACCAAGGCGACGAUCCGUAGCUGGUCUGAGAGGAUGAUCAGCCACACUGGAACUGAGACACGGUCCAGACUCCUACGGGAGGCAGCAGUGGGGAAUAUUGGACAAUGGGCGCAAGCCUGAUCCAGCCAUACCGCGUGGGUGAAGAAGGCCUCCGGGUUGUAAAGCCCUUUUGUUGGGAAAGAAAUCCAGCUGGCUAAUACCCGGUUGGGAUGACGGUACCCAAAGAAUAAGCACCGGCUAACUUCGUGCCAGCCGCCGCAGUAA